rnacentral:rRNA from 1 species
UACGUAGGGUGCGAGCGUUACUCGGAAUUACUGGGCGUAAAGCGUGCGCAGGCGGCUUUGCAAGACAGAUGUGAAAUCCCCGGGAUCAACCUGGGAACUGCAUUUGUGACUGCAAGGCUAGAGUACGGCAGAGGGGGAUGGAAUUCCGCGUGUAGCAGUGAAAUGCGUAGAUAUGCUGAGGAACACCAAUGGCGAAGGCAAUCCCCUGGGCCUGUACUGACGCUCAGGUGCGAAAGCGUGGGGAGCAAACAGG